UAAUAAUUUAAAAGAACAAAUUGAUAUUAUGUUUUUAAAUCUAAAAAAAAUAGGGUUAGAUAAUUGGCUAAAAAUGGAUAUAAAGGAUUUUGAAAAAUAUCUCUUAAGAACUGGUAACAACAAUGGUGGGAACGCAAAUUUUCUACAAAUCAAACAAAAUGAUAAAUAUACUGCUUACUUGAUUCUAAAAUGUGCCAGUCGAAAUAUUACAGAUUUUUUUUGUUAUGAAGAGUUUUCACCUUUUUAUCUUUUUAAUGAAAAACCUAAAAAUUCGAUUAAUGAAAAACUAAAUAAUCUACAAGAAAAUAAACAUAUAUCAGAUGCGGAAAUCAAAAAAAUGGUUUACGACCAUAAUUCAGUUAUUACCUUAAUGAGUGACAACAGUGAUAUGCAUGGUCAAAUGGACGUUGAUUUAUUUUUAAAAAAAGAAAAAGAAUACAAUAUGAACAGGUCAGUAGUUACUUACAAUUAUGACGAAAAUACUAAUUCAUAUAAAUACAAAUACAAACAAAUUCCUAAUACUAUUUAUGACCAAAACUCAAAUAAAUACAUAAGAGAAAACGAAUCGAUUGACCCUUUGCUAAAACUAAAUGAAAUGAGGUCUUCUAUUUUAGAAGUUAAAAGGAUGAUGAGCAUGACCAAAGACGGCAGAGUGUACUAUAUAAGAAUCAUCCUAAUGAUCGGUAACGGAAAGGGCGUGUAUGGGUACGGAGUAGGGUUCGGAAAAAAUAUGAAAGAAGCAAGAAAUAGUGCUUUGUUAAAUUCUAUUGGUAAUAUAGACUUUAUAGACUAUAAUUAUAAAAAUUGUAUUUUGAAUUUCCCAGUUAGUGGGCAAGAAUACUCUGCACAUGUCAAAAUAAUACCUAGACCUUUAGGGAGAGGGUUAAAAAUAAACAAAAGAUAUUUACCAUUAGGUUAUAUUUUAGGUUUAGAUAAUGUUAAAAUAUCAUUUAGUGGUGGCAACAAAUGGAUAAGUCGAAUAAAGGCUUUAAAAAGAUGUUUAAACAAAAUUGUAUCUAUUAAAACCUUAUGUAAAAUGACCGGUAAAAAAUAUGUAUGUCAUUUUGCACCACAUUAUUGUACUAGCCAUUGGCCUGAUUAUUGGUUUAAAAAUAUUUUAAAAGAAUAUCAAUAUAAAAUUCAAAAAAUUAAAGCUAAAAGAAAUAUGGUAUGUAGAAAAAAUUUUAGAUCCAACAUUCAUAAAAUACCUGAAGAAGUCAAACCUGAUUUUACUCCAUAUACGUGGAAAACUCCAAUACAAAAAUACGUCGAAUCAGCUAAGUUGAAAAAGUAUGUUGACAAUAAUAUUUAUCAUACUAACAUAUUUUGAAAUGUAAAAUAUAGCGCUCCAGUUAAAGCAUAUAGGGUUAAGGAACAUUCGACAGAAAGACAGAAGAAACAUAUAAAAGAGGAAAAAAAAAAGAAGAAAAAAUGUAAAAAACUGUUUAAUUUGUAUAUCUAGUGUGUACACAUACACACAUAAUUUUAUAUGCUUACAUUUCAAAAAUGUCACUAAGGCCUUAAAAAAUAUAACCUAAAAAAUAUUUUUUAAGUUAAAUAAAAUGUUUAAUAUGAUACUCA
ensembl:lncRNA